GAUGAACGCUAGCGGCAGGCUUAAUACAUGCAAGUCGAGGGGCAGCAGGACUGUAGCAAUACAGUUGCUGGCGACCGGCAAACGGGUGCGGAACACGUACGCAAUCUACCCAAAACUGGUGAAUAGCCCUCCGAAAGGAGGAUUAAUACACCGUAACUUAAUGAAGUGGCAUCGCUUUAUUAAUAUAGCUCCGGCGGUUUUGGAUGAGCGUGCGCCUGAUUAGGAGUUGGCGGGGUAAUGGCCCACCAAGCCUGCGAUCAGUAACUGGUGUGAGAGCACGACCAGUCACACGGGCACUGAGACACGGGCCCGACUCCUACGGGAGGCAGCAGUAAGGAAUAUUGGUCAAUGGGCGCAAGCCUGAACCAGCCAUGCCGCGUGCAGGAAGACGGCCCGUACGGGUUGUAAACUGCUUUUGCAGGGAAUAAACCCCGGUACGUGUACCGGGCUGAAUGUACUCUGAGAAUAAGGAUCGGCUAACUCCGUGCC
rnacentral:rRNA from 1 species